rnacentral:rRNA from 1 species
UACGUAGGGCGCAAGCGUUAUCCGGAAUUAUUGGGCGUAAAGAGCUCGUAGGCGGUUUGUCGCGUCUGCUGUGAAAGACCGGGGCUCAACUCCGGUUCUGCAGUGGGUACGGGCAGACUAGAGUGCAGUAGGGGAGACUGGAAUUCCUGGUGUAGCGGUGAAAUGCGCAGAUAUCAGGAGGAACACCGAUGGCGAAGGCAGGUCUCUGGGCUGUAACUGACGCUGGAGGAGCGAAAGCAUGGGGAGCGAACGGG